AAGACGAGACAUGGGUAAAUUGCAGAAGUUUGGUUUCAUCGUCAGCCCAUUGUGACUGGUGUUCGCGCAAAAAUUGCAGUAGUGAUGGAGGAGAGACAUCCUAGCAAACAGCAGAAGAAAUAUUGUAUGAAAAAUAUUGGCAAUUACAAAACAAACAAAAAGAAAGUACUAAUUCUAGUUUCAUAGUGAAGCUAACCUGCAACAGCAUGGAUGCCUUGGCACAAAGAACACCGGUACUGACAAUAGUGAGUCCACUGCUGAAUGUUGCAUUGCAACCGGUCACUUUGGAUGAAUUGACAGAGAUGCAAACAUCGUCGAUGCCAUCGCUCUCGAUCACGGACCAUCCAUCAUCCGCAAGCCCAUUGAGAACUUCAUUGAAGCCUCUGAAAAGAGAGCAUGCAAAAUUAUUUUUCACACUUUUGAACUGAAGAUUCAUGGCAAGAACCAAGAAGCAUCUGCUGUUCAGGAGUCCUACGUGGUGAGCUUUUUGGCUCAGAGCAUGCAAAGCCGCAAGCUUCCUUCCCCAUCCUGUGAUCACAGAACGGGUAUCUUUGUAGGCAACCUGCCUCAGGCAGCGUAAAGACUGAAUUUUGCAUGACUGAAUUAGGCAAUAAUUUUUACAAAUCAACAAGAACAUCAAGAACAGGGUACUAUAAUUACUGUACCGCCAUCGAUAUCUUCUGCGCAACCAAGGCAGAAGAUUCAUACAGAGGUCGCACAACUUCAGGCACGCUCCAAGGCUGUGAACACAAAAAAAUUGGCUGAAAUUUCUUUCUGCUAGAUGAAUGAACUAUUUGGAUAAGAAAUUGUAAUGGUUAUUAGUUAUUACCUCCAGGUCCAUAUGAUCAACGAUGUGUAUCACGCUGCCUCCACCAUCGCUAGGUCGGAUCAAGAACCCACUGGGAAGCAUCUCAUCUCUGAUAAAAGGCUGGACAAGUGGCAUGCUUGGGCCUCCUUGCUUGCUACUGAGUGAUCUCUCACACACCUUCAGAAUUCAGAACAAGAACAUUCAGGCAAGCAGACAAGACAUCAUAGUGACACACAAAUACUUUGGUAUUAAUUGCACAUCAGCACAUGGAUAAUUUGUUUUGCGCUCCAUGAUCAGACAACUAACCACUAAGCUUCCAUCACCGAGAAUGGAGGUGUACCGCAGCAGCCAGAAGUCGUGAGCCGGCGCCAGCGUCGUCGGAGCAUAGAGUUGAAGACUGAAUACAGAUUUCAGCUUCGGAAUUUCAGGUUGAGCUAAGAAUUUGCCACAAAAAUUUUCAGGCUUGUCUGUUCUUGCCUGCAUGUAGAGCAGCUUGACCUUCCAUUUAGCACAACACUAAUGAGUUAAAUCAGAACAUGAACAACCAGACAACUACCCUACCCCUGCAUCAGAAACAUGAAGCUGCACAGAUAAGUUUUUAUCUCAGUCGUCAUAAAGCAGUGAAGAAAAUCAAGCAAAAAAUGUAAUUGCACCAACGAGUGAGAUGGACAGAUUGUUGCACCUCAUUAAAAAUAAAAAGCCCCAAACCUCCUCUAAGUCAAUGAAAAUUAUAGGGAAUGCAAUAAGCCACGAAAUAAUUGCAUGCUAGAAAAAAGUGGCUUGAAUAAACUAAUCUGAGAGCUCCAGUCCACGGUUGGUUUCUCUUAAACAUUGAAUUAUAUGAAGGCCUCUAUUCAAUGGGUUUAUUAGUAUCAACUUGCAUUUAACAGGAACAAUGGCCACUACAACUGAAACAAUGGUACAAUACGAUCAUCAAAGAUUCAAAGUUGUCAAGCUCUGUGACCAAUAGAUACUUACCUUUUAAUUGAGUUGCCAAUGCCCCAACGUUAUAGCCUGAUCCUUACCUUUCGGCUUCUUGCUAUUACCACCCUACUACAAUGCUAUUUCUAUCACCUGAAACAGUAAGAAUCAUGGAAAAAAGAUUCUCGGUUAAUGAUGGCAAGGAUUGAGACUCUGACCGUCCAAAAGAAAUAGUUCAUGCAGCAAUAAGAAAUUAAAAAUCGGCAUCAAGUACACGAGAUAGCCAAAUAAUGGAUCAGGGAAAUGACAUUUAUUUGAUCCCUGCAAAAUUUGCACAUGAACAUACUACUUGCCUAUAGAUGAUGGUGGUGUGGCCGUGUGGGCAAUAUUGGGUGCAUAUGAAAAUGCUGCAAGAAAAAAAAAGGGUGCCCUUUAUACCGAUCAAGAAAAAGAAGUGCAUUUUAGCUUGAUCAAGAACUAACCCAAAAGCAGGCUACUCGUCAACACUGUUUCACUCCCUCUCAGUGAUAUGUGUUCAUGUCUAUUCGGCCAGCAAGCACAUUGCGUUCGUCAAUACAUGCUGUCACUGCCCUUUUGAUCGCCCGCAGAAGAGCCACCCCAGCAUGCACGCAGACAACAAGACAACAACAAGCUUUGAGUUGAAGGGAAAUCCAGAUUAUAUAUUUGAUAUUAGUUAAUUCAGUGUCUCAAAAAAUAUCAUCAACUCCAAUUUGAUGACCAAAAAUCCUCUGCAAAACUGAUAAUUUUACAACCUUGAUGCUACAGAUCAAAUAACAGGACUGAAUGUGCCCUAGCUCCAAAUAUCACAAUAUAGGUGGUAUGUGUUCCUAUCGGGCUAACCUCACCUACUUCAGGGAAGAAAUUGGUCAGCAGCCAUACUUGGAUAAUGGCAGCAUGACCGUCGCCGUGGCCUCGCACCGCCAGUGGCCGGCGCACGCGCAACACACCAGGUCCUUCCGCUUUGGUCACCACUUGCCACUCUUUGCCUCCAUUAAUGACACCACCUCAGCGACUAGCCACCAUAGGUUUGGCCCCAACAAUCACUUGAAAUGAAAGUUGAGAUUACAAAUACGGCAAGCAGGAAAGCCGGUGAAAUCAAACUGCAGCAUCAUGCCAUUCUCCUCUCAAAUAUGGCCGUAAAGCAACACAAGAAGGGAUGUUUUUACCUCUCAAAUCUGUUUGCCGACACCGCCGCUGUGGUGGAGGAGGAGGCCACCAUGUAACACAGAACAUGUAACACAAGAAGGAUGGCAGUGUUUUAUCAGACUUGAUUUGUACCUGAAGGGCGGCAUGUUGGUGGGGAAUGCGUAGAUGCAGAGAACCAUCUCCAUCGGCCGGCAUGCUUGGUCCGCCACAAACCGCACCGGAUCUCAUCGCUGUGUUCUUGUAUCCGCCCCUGCCGAGGUCAGAGCACAAUCCACACCGCUGCUGAUUUACUCCAAUCCAUUCUUUCUAUGAAAAGAAGAAAAUCGAAAUAUCAAAAAAGGAACACAAAACUGAGUUCAACUUCAACCGCACAUCAUUAUGCACGCUGCAAACCUUACCUCCGUGAGACACGCACCAACAGCGGGAAACACGACGAUGAUACCAGCAAUGCAGCACCAAAGGAUGGGGAGAAGCUGUGCCGCCAGUCGAUCUGCGGCGCCCUCGCUUGAUCCGCCGUUGGUCCCAUUCGCACGAAAGGGGAAGAAAUGAAGACAUCAACCGAAGAGGCAGGGAGGGGAGAAGACAGAGCGACGCGACGAGGCGAGGACGAAGAAAGUAUUGGGGUGGAGGCGCUCGAGGAUGAGGAGGCCAGCGCGAGCUCGCAUCCGGCGCUGCACCCGUCCCCCGCCGCCUACGCCGCGAACGCCGCGGCCGUGAGGACAAGGAUGAGGAGGAAGGUGGAAGCUUCCACGGCGGGAGGUCGCUCGUGACGAAACCCUAGCGACGGGGCGGGGACGGGGAUGGGGGCGGCGACGCGAGGCGUGGACGGGGGCAGUGGUGGCCGGCAACGGAGGCGGUGAAGGGCGGAGAAUGGACCGGCGGCGGAGGAGGAGGAUGGCUGAGGGAGAGGGAGGAGGGGCGGCGCGCGGGGCGGCGGCGGCGGCGGCGACGCGAGGCGGGAGAAGGAGAGGGAGAGGGCGAGACGGGGGACGGGAGGGACGAGGAGACGAGCAGGCAGCGGCGGGCAGGUUGGGGGCUUGGGGCUGGGCGCACGGCGUUUUUGCGAAAAAGACCCUCGUCUUUCAAGUUUUACAGCGCGACCCUAACUCGCCACAUCUCCCUUCCUCCUAUGCAAUAACUGUAUUCACCAGAGGCCUAAACGUAAAUAGACAACUCGGUGGGACUGUUCAUGGAGGACGGCGGCCGAAUUACGCGCGAAGCGGAGGGCCUUUUCACAAAAAUGCCACCCCGCGCGCUGUAUAUACUGUAGCAAAAUCCUUACGUGGCACCCCUCCUCGCUCGCCCCAUGUGCGCCGCUUUAUAUAUUCCGAUUCCGAUUCCGUUUACAGGUGGAAUUAAUCACCUGUGGUGUGAACACAUAGGGAAGCAGGGGAGGGAGCUCCUGCUCCUGCAUGACGUCAUCCGGCAGCGGUAGCGCGGUCCUCAGCCACGCCCUUUGCUGCACGGCCAGUGGCCUCCGUCCAAGAUCCCCUCGGUGCCGCGGCUUGGGGAGAGAGGCGGCUGGCGAAUCAAAAGGCAGGCAAAGACGGACGUAGCGAUGCACGUGAUUUCACCCUCCCCAUCCCCAAGCACGGCAACCGAAUUCAUCGCCACAUCCAGCGACGAGGUGAAUCUGUGCCACUGCCGCCGAGCUUGAGGGGAGAGACGCACAGAACAGCGCGCCGGCGCGUGGGAGGGUCGGCCUCGGGCGCCGGAGGGGCGGAGGUGGAGCUGGAGCUGGAGCGUGAGGAGGAGGAAGAGGCGGCGACAUCGGCGUAGGUCGACCUCCGACGAAUGAGGCGGAGGAAGCGGGGGCGGGGCUGCCGGCGGAGAGAAGGGCAUAGCAGGGUAUAACUUUUUUAAAAAGACCCCUAAAACCUCACAUAUUACAAAGAGGUCCACCGCAGCUAUUCCACACCGUUCAUCAUCGAUCCGACAGCUGAGGGAGAGGACUAACGCUGGAAUCGUAUUGUGCCACGUGGAGGGGUUGUUUGCACGCGAAUCCGCAGAGAUUUCGAUAUUAGAGAUUACGCCAAUGCAUCAGGUACAACAUUUAUAUCAUCCACGUAUACGUGGAAUAACUGUAAAAAAACAUUUGUGAUUAUUAUUUUUUAAUACUAAACUGCUUAAAAAUCGAUCAGUUAAAUUUAUCCACCGUAGUACAAUCGUUACGCUAACGCGUCAGGAACAUCGCUCAUAUCAUACACAUGUAAAGUGGAAUAUUUAAAAAAAAACUUUGUGAUUAUUAUUGAAAUACUAGACUGUUUAAAAAAUUGUUCAGUUAAAUUUUAUCCAUCGUGACAUCACUCUGUGCGCAAAUAUAGAGCAUAUUAUUUAUCUAAAAACAAACAAUUUUUUUGAGCAGAUUAGUUCUCUAAACCAAACAAUACUUUUUGAUCGCUAUACACACUCCGUAAACACCCGGUGCAACGCACGGUCACUUUUGCUAGUCUAUAUAUAUAUAUAUAUAUAUAUAUAUAUAUAUAUAUAUAUAUAUAUAUAUAUAUACAUAUGUAUGUAUGUAUGUAUGUAUGUAUGUAUGUAUGUAUGUAAAAUUGGUCUGGAAUGUGGCGGUUACAUGGGCCUGAACUGAUGUGAGGAGAAAAUUUUUUCUACUUGCUAGGACAUGAUGUGAUCUGGACAGGAAAACGGAAAACGUGGAGCAAUUUGGGAGGGGGCGAUAUGGAGGAAUCGGACCGGAAAAUCGUAAAAAAAUACGCACAGGGAGGAAAUUGGACUGCGCAGCGCAUUAUACUGGGACAACGUACAAAAAUACUUGGCAAAAGCAUCUUAAACAUUUAUGAUAGGUAAAGAUCUACUGUCACGCCCGGAAUUUCUAUCCAAAAUUCCAAACGCUUACAUGUGUGUGAACCCUCGUCCAGGAAUCAGCCGAGUCACACAAUAACAAAUUGAUAAUAGAGUACAAUUAUUACUCUAAUUAAUAAGCGAAUAAAAUGUCAUUACAGAGGUAGAUAGUUCCUCUCAAUCAAUAAAAAUCUAAGCAGCGGAAAAAUAAGAUAAACGGCGCAGACGACUCCACUCCACAGGCAGCUUGACCAGGGCUACACCUAAUCCUCCACAUCAUCAGCUUCACUGUAGAACUCUUCCUCUGAUGAAUGAUUGCAAGGUGAGUAUAUGACAUACUCAGCAAGUCACGCAGCAAAUAUGCAAGUGCACAGGAUAACAAAGGGUGGCAUAGUAGGGUUUCAUUUGCAUAAACAGCAUUUAAUAAACAUUUCAGAAUUUAUAAAACAGUUAAGUAAUAAUUAAACAAUAUUAAUCCAACGCUCUACAACAUACCCUGUUGUAAAGGCCCAACAAUUCUGAACAACCAUACCCGGCUGUACAGAUCCAUCUCCAAACCAGGAGCUAAACAAAUUAUUACCAGUUAUAGCAUCUUUUAUUAUGGUGAGAAGUGUGAGACUAAUCACGAAAGACAUUGUUAGACCCGCCCAUAACCGCGGGCACGGCUAUUCGAAUAGUUUUACUCUGAUCAGAGGUGUACCACUGUACCCACAAGACACAGCCCCACAUCAUGUCACCAUGUGCCUCAAUACCACCACGGUACCUCGGAAAGGAGCUGUGACAAUACCCCUCGCACAACACAAUCCACUACAGCGCACCUUUCCUGGAUCAUAAUCACCCCCUUAUAAACAAGGCAUGGACUCCCCAGCGACCCCCGUGGGCUUAUCUCCGCCACUUCUCAGUCUGGUGCCCCGCAAUGAACCAUGCUAUACAAAAGGUAAAGCCGUUGCCCACGCUGGCUUGUGGUUGGCACGGUUAAUGUUUCACAACCGAAACUCGUGAACCGGUCCUUAAUUGUCAUGAGCACGACUCUCAAAACCAUGUGCUCACAACCCACCAUUAUCAAGUUUUAGUUGGCAAGUAAUUAAUUAACCAAUCACGUUUGACCAUCGUGAACUAACAAUAAGCCAUCAUUAAAUAAUAGUGAGUCAUAAGUUAUCCCAAUAGUGUGCUAAUGUUUCUAAGCAUGGCUAAGCAAUCACAUCUAAUAUCUAGCUGAACCAAUAUAUAUAGCUCAACUAGUCAAGUUAAAAUAACCCAAGGUAUCAAGGAAUAAAGUAAUCAAGAUCAAAAAGGGCUAUAACAAACAAUAGGUUAAUUCCACCCAAUGACAUUCGAAAAUAAAUGCAAUAUUUGAAUAGAAACAAUAGCUUUAAACGGGAUCAACAUGCUCAAAGGGUUGUUUGGGAUCUGUGUGACUUGCCUUGCUGGCCUUGGAACUCUUCAAAUUCUUCUCCUGCGAAAACGGGCUCUCCAGAAACGUCGGAAUCUAAACAGGAAAGAGCAAAAUCACCAAAACAGCACAUAAACAAGCAUGAACAGUACAUGUGGAUAUUUUUAACAUGUAGAUCUCAAUUUUAGAAAAAUUUAGAGACUUGAACCAACUAAAUCCGAGCUAAGAUGAAUUAGUUAUGAAUUUUUAAAGAUUAAAUCGGAUUAAAACACUUAUAUGGAUUUUAAUUGAAUUAUGACGCAAUAAUGAAUUAUUUUUGAAAAGGAAAAAGGAAUUAUUGCGUCAGCGGCUAGGGUUUGCGGUGGACCGGGCGCACGGCAGCGGUUCACGAGAACGAACGGCCGAGAUCGAUCCAUCCAAAACGGACGGCCGAGAUUGACCGAUCCACGGCCGGCUCACGGCGGACGGUCCCGAUGACGUCGGCGAUGACGUCACCACCGGCGGCGGCUCGGGCUUGCAACCUCGCCGGCGAACGACGGCGCGGCGACGCGAACGGAGGGCACCAGCACGAUGCGGGCAUCGCGGCGAACUCACCGAUGACCAAAACGUCGGCGGAAGAGCAACGGACGGCGACGGCGAAGAGGUUGAAGCGGCGGAGAAGAUCGGGUCGACGGCGGCGACGGUGUUCCGGCGAUCUUCAGCGACGGCGAAGGGGCGGACGAGGACGGCGACGUGACGGCGACCACGAUGGUGACCUCCCCGAGCGACGGCGACGGCUGGAGCGACGGCGAAGCACGGCUGGAGCGGCGGCGACGACGGCGGCGCUAGGGCGCUUCCGACGGCGAGAGACGAAGGCGAGGGUGGCGACGGGUAGAGGAGACACCGGGGAUCCUUUUAAAGGGGUUGGAGGGCGGCGGCGAAGGCCCACGGCGACCGGCGACGAGAAGGAAAGAUCGGGGCUCGGAGAGAGAGACCGAUCCGAAUCGACCUCGAAUCAAACACUUUCCAAGCGAAAUUAGCCGACGAUUCCAUAAGAGAAAAGGUAGAGGAGAUCCCGAAGAUUGUUUCCCCUCAAUUGAUUUCACCGGAGAAGGAAAGGAGCGGCCGGAUUUGGAAGGAGACGGCGGCGGCGCGGCGCUAGGGUUCGGGCGGCGGCCGACGCGAGGAAGACGACGACUCCGACAGGCGGGACCCACCUGUCAGCGACCGAACGCGCGCGUGAGGGACGGCUGCUGCUGGACUGGGCCGACUUGGGCCGGGGAGAGAGAGAGGGGGUUUUGGGCCAACUUUCGGCCCAAAGCCAAAAGAGACUUUUAAAAAACCUUUUUCAAUUUAAAUUAUUCAUGAAAUGCAAUUCCAUUUAUUAAAAAUACUUCCUUAGCUCAAAUAAAUCCCAGAAAAAAUCUAGGAAUUAUAGAAUUAAGCAAAAUAUUUAAUGAAAUUUUAUCUGGCCCCAUUUUAUAUUGGAAUUUAUUAAUUAAAAUUAGAUCUUCUCUUCUAGGCUUUUAAAAAAUAAAUUCUAAUAAUUCCAAUUAAACAACAAUUUAUAUAUUUUGGAUUUUUAGGGUGUGACAUCUACAUAUUUCAAUAAAAAAAAGUCCUACCUAAAAUUUAAAACUAACUCAAAAUUUGAAAACUUUGAACUCUCAACAUGAAAUUUGAACUUUCAACUCGAAUUUUGAAACUUUUAACCUGAUUUUAAAAACUUUCAACUUGAAUUAUGAAAACUUUCAACUGGUAAUUUAAAAACUUUUAACGCGAUUAAAAAAAUUUCUAACUCAAACUUCUAAAACUUUCAACUCGAAUUAUGGAAAAUUUCAACUGAAAAUUCAUGAUCUUUCAACUAUUUUUUAAAACUGUGAACUAUCCUAAAAAAAUAAUUAUUGAUGUAUUUUUUUAAAAAAAAUAUUACUCCAGUACAUAUUACCAUUAGCGCUAAUUAGGUCAUUUGCGGACUAAUCACCCCGGGUGCGGGCAUCCCAAAUAAAAGCCUUCGCUCCACCCGUCAACGUCUGUUUGUUGUAUUCCCCUUCCUUACCCCCAAAAUCGAAAUCCCUAAUUCGACGCCAUGGCCGCGACUGGCGGCGCCGCCGGGGAGAAGACGGCCAGCAGCCUCCUGCUCGGCGUCCGGGGCUACACGUCCACCCUCAAGAACGCCUCCACCGCCAGCUGCAGGUUGAGCGCCGGCCAUCCCAUCGAGGUGACUUUGUGGGAGGCGUCCCCGCCUGCCCUCUCCCACUUCUCCGUCCACUGCCCCGAUCUCCCAUCCUUCAAUGGCAAUCUGCUUGGCGCGCCUAAAGCCAUCGCCGCCGCCGUCGACGACGCCGACGGCCAGCUCCUCCUCCUCCUCCGAGUCCCCAUCGAUCAGCUUGGUGCCCCGCAUGACAACGACUACUUGGUCUACCAUCCGGAUCCCCCGUCUCCGAAACUGGAUCUGCUCCCCAACCCGCCUCCCCCUACCCUCGGUGACCACCAGCUCGCCAUACUCAGCUGCGGCGACGACCGCUACGUCGUGGCCGCCCUCCACGUCUGGAGUGAGUUCACUUCCACGCUGCGCCUGUACAGAUCUUCUUGUUCGUCUGGGAGUUGGACAUCGGAGGAGGUGUCCGUGGAGGAGCCGGUGAGGGACAGGCUGUGCCCGAUCCCGGACUCAGCCAAGAGGCAGCUGUACCACGUCACCACCAAGACCAUCACGCUCGGAGGUGCGAAGGGCACCGUGGGCUGGGUUGAUCUCUGGCGCGGCAUCCUCCUCUGCGACGUGCUCGACGAAAUGUCUCCAAGGAAGCUCCGCGACAUGCCGCUGCCGUGGCCGGCCAAGGGCAAUUGGAGGAUGUACCUCAAUGGAGAUGUGUCCUUUUGUCGGGACAUCGCCAUCAGCCAACACAAGGAUUCCAUCAAGUAUCUGGAGAUGGAGAUCGUUUCACCAAGAACGGUGACCACCACCAUACCCACCUCCACCUCUGCAGAUCCUACUUCAUACCUUGAAUGGGUUCGCCGCAGCAGAGAACCUCAGCCGACACGGCGACGCUCCGUGUUCCACCCUGGUUCGUGGAGAAUCACUACAUGGAGCAUGCCUAUCCCGGUCACUUCAUGGGACGACUGGCGCCGUGACUGCACUGCUGAAUCGCGUGAAGUCCAUCUUGACACCAACCCAAGUCACCAUUACGAGUUGCUUCAUAGCCUCAUGCUCAGCAACAGCGGUGAUGAACACAGGGAGGAGGCUCAAGGUCAAGGGGCAACCUCUUCCUUGUCCCUAGGUCGCCUGCGUUUGUGUUACCCGGCCUUGAGUUGCAUCGAUGAUGAUGUUGUUUACCUCUUGGGCAACGCUGCUGGCAGGGGUGCUAAGACGGGAGGAAUGAUGGUCGCUGUUGACGUCAGGAACAAGGAGCUGCGAGGAGUGGCCAAGCUUGACCCCGAAAAGAACACCCUCUACUCCAUGCGAUGCUACCUUGCAACUGGGAUCUCCAAACGCCUCAACACUACCACAGGUACUUAAUUACCGCUCGUAUUCCAGAACAAAUGCAGCGCCAUGUGCAUAUGGGUAAUAAAAUGCCAUUUAAGGAUCUAGGGCUGAUCAUUAUAGUUCUUUGUUUAUGAUGGUCCGAAUGACCAAACUAGGACUAGAAUGUAGUAACUUUAUUUAGGGUGAUAGGCUUGAUAUGUUGAUACAAGGGCAGAACAGUACCAAGAGUCCUUUUGGCAGAGUAGUACCAAUACUCAUUAUGCAAUAUACUGUUUUGUGUGAGUUUCAGACAAACGUUGUGUUUCUAACUGUACUUGCAAAAACAAAACCUGAACUCUGUUAACAGAAUAAAGACACCUCCACUAAAAUGUCGACGACUAAUGCAUAAAAUUAUUUGCGUUCUUCGUGAAAAUUCAUAGCAGUAAAUGUGUCGUCACUCUUGUUUCCUUGUCAUUAUGCGUGUAAUAUAUUUUGCUAGCAUGCAUUUAAAUAUGAAGUAAUUAAUCAAAGUGCAUUCGUACCAUGUCAAAAGAACAAGAGAAUAGAGCAAGUAAUAAUAAGGUAGUACUUGACCAAAGCAUACUUGAAAAAGUAGUAUAUUGCUUUAGGUUUUGCUUUUCCUGUUGUACUCAAUGUGGACAACAUGAAUGCUCUUCCUCUUGAGUACUAAUUCUUGCUUCAAGGACAUUUUAUGAGAUAAUAGCUAUUUUAUUUGAUGUAGACACAAGAGUUGGACGACCUGAGGAGGAUGCAGAAGCCGCCGAGUAGAAUGUGCGAACCCAGUGACAUAUAUGCAUCAUACUGCAGCCUGCCUGGAUGCAAAUAUUAUCGUAUCAGUGGUUUGUUGGCUUGAAUGGGGGUUAAGGAGUUGUGCUGUUGCUGGGCAUAUAUAGUUUUGUGACAAGAAUCUUAUCCAGGUUGCUUACUUUGGGUUGAUGAUAAAAGUAGGAGUAGACGUGAAUAACAUUAAUAUAUGUUGGCUUAUUUUUUGAGGGGAUGUUGGCUUAUUUAUGUGGCACUAAUUGUCUUUAUGCCUUUGAGUUAAACACAAAACAAUGAUCCAACUCUUUGAACCUGUUUGUUUCAAGUAAUGAGUUGAUGAAUUUUUCACCACUUGGAGUCCUCCCUCAAACUGGAUCUGCUCCCCGCUGCCUCAAACUGUUUUUUUUUUUUGAACGAAUGUGUUUUCUAAGUUCAUUCUCAGAACAAUGCCCGCCAUCAGAUUCAUCGACUAGCAUAGCAAGACAGUAUAACUUUUUACCAAAGAAAACUGAUUAUAUAGUAUAUAUAGAAUACUUGUCUUACACACAGUGACAAUCCAACAAUAUCUAUGCAACAGGAAUAAUAUGUUAGUGUGCAGAUCAUACCCUCUCAACUCUGAACUCUUCUGCAGCAGGGAGUUCAAGAUAUAUUUUGUACAUAGCUGACAGUGCACCAUUCCGGACAGCGGGACAGAGAAGCUCCAAUCAAAAGUCUCCGAUGUUCUGUCUUAUCUUCUAGGUUUUCGGGCUUGGCUCAAUUGGAAAGGCCCAAUUGAUUUUGGGCUUGAGUACAACGCAGCAUAAGGCGCCACCGAUUAGGCCCAAGUACAGGUAUACUCAAUUAAUUACCACUACUACCACUACAGGUAUACUCAAUUAAUUACCGCUCCUUGUUGUCAUGUCUGUUAUUUGCGUGCUGUUCUACGAGAGAUUAAUCUCUUUGGCUUAAAUUUCUGUCUCAAUUCUUAACAUGCAUAACAGAUUUUAAUCGGUCAAUAUAUAAGUUAGGCUAAACUUUGUUGUGUUCCUUUGCUUGCCGGCAUGUAAGUUCCGAAGAAUUUUGUUUAAACUCUACAAUGUUUGGCCAAGAAAAUUUCUCAUAUCUAGCUAAGAAGAACUAAAAGGAAAAGAGCUGCUGCUCUUGUUCGCCAGUAAUCUGCAUCAAUGGAUAGUGUAUACUGAUCAUUCCGGCGUUGACAUGGCGAAAAGUAUUUUGUCAAUAGGAAGGAGGAGAAUCACACGCCAAGUGCAUGCAUGAUUUUUCAAUUCAUUUCAAGGCAAAGUUUCUAGACAAAGCUAGGUUCUCGAUAAGCCGGCCACUUUGAUUUGAUGACAAUUAGGUUAAUUAAGGCAAUCUUCUUGCCUUUCCUUUUCUAUCAAUAGUGGACAAAGGUGAGAGCUGAUAUUUAUUAUAUCCUGUUAGCCAUUCAGAAAGUGCUUUCCAUGACAUUCCAAACGAAAUGAUAUUUUUCUCAUGUUCAGUCGGCCAUGCAUCUUCAGUUUAACUAAACAAGACAAAAAAAAAAAAAACUUAUAUCCAACAUAAGAUAUAUAUGCCCUAUGAGCAUAAACGCACUCAGUGAUAAAAUAUACUAGUAAGAGGUAAAGCUAAGGUGAAUGCUGACAAGAGACAAGCCCAUCUGUCCCUCAAAGAUAACAAAUACUACUACUGAUUGAAACAAAAUUAAAGCAUGAUAGCCACUUCUGAAUUUCUGAAUGGCUGAAGGGGAAAAAAAUUGAACAGGAUACUGCAUGCUGAUCGAGUUGAACAAGUAAGAAAAGGUGUUCAUCUUUGCAGAGACAAGAUCUAACACAUUUCUAACUGCAGAGGUAGUUCAUAGCAUCCAUCGAUCACCUACACACAAUAUCCUCUCUCAUGCCUGACCCCUGCACAAACGCACACCGGAUUGCAAAUACACAUAAUUUAGAUCUUUCUAAUGAUUUUGUAUCGUCAGAUAAUCUUGCUUGUUUUGGUCGACCUUCAGAAUUGAGUUGAUGAAGUUCGUCGCAGUGAGCUCUUUGUAGGCAUCACCAGUGCAGCAAAUAGAAGAUGAAUUACAAGACUUACCUGUGAUGAAUUACAAGACUUACCAGGCAUCACCUGUCAAAUAAUCCAUUGAUGAAGUUAGUUUAGAAACUCAAGAGAGUACCGUUAUAAAUGCAGACUUAACAUCAAGGCUAGCACAAAUAGAAGAUGAAUUACAAGACUUACCUGUGAGAAUGAAGAUAAGUUGAAAAGUUGAAGGAUAUUACUGUUAUUGUCAAGGACAUGGGAGGACCAGAGAGCUUACCCAGUCAUUACAAUUUAGAGAUGAACCACAGAUUUGCAUAUGGAAAAUGAUAUAAAUGAUAUAAGAGGUUUGCAAGAUGAUCUGAGAUCUAGCAAUGAGAAUUUGCUAAGAGAAGAAAGACUGAUAUAAGAGCUUUAGUCUAUCCUUGCAAGCCUGACUUCGAAACUUAGUCAAAAGAGUAUGGCCGUGCUUUUCAAUUUCUUAUGUAGUCUUAGCUGCCUCCAAUUUGUUCACUUGUUGGAUAGAUUAGGUAACAUAAAUUUGAUUGAUUUUCCUGAUGAUCAUAGAUUUGUUCACCUCCUCCGCCAUCUUGUGCCUGGCGCCGCCUCCGUCUUCGGUUUGCAAACGUGAACACUGGCAUCACCUACAUGAAAAAUCAAAUGGUUAAUGGUGUGCAACACUGUCAACUUUAAGGUGAAUUUGUGUCAACAAAAUUUCAGUCAAGCUGCACAAAAGAUUCAAAAGUCCCUGAAAUAAAUUGAGAUAACAAACAAUCCUCCAUGCAUAACAGUAUUGAGUACUGGCCCCAUUCGAGUUUAAGAUAAAAGAUUAAGUUCGGACAGGUAAAACGAGAAAAUCAUUAACAUCUCACUAAUUAAGGUUUAAUUAUUUUAAAAUUGAAAAAUAGAUUUAUCUUAUAAUUAAAGCUUCUAUAUAAAUUUUUUUCGUUCGAAAUAUACAGUUCAACAGUUUAAAAAAACGAAUUUAUAAAAAUCUAGGUAAAAUCUGUAUCUUAAUCAGAAAAAGAAAAAUAGAGGCUGAAGAAGCCUUGAGAGAGCAGUAGAGUAUGGCACUGGGAUGAUGCCAAACUGCUUUCAGAACCGAUUCACUGCUGCUGUUGGCAUCUGCAGAUUUGAUGAGUUCAGCUCCAAAAUGAAAUCUGCAUAAGCAAAGCAUCAUGAGUUCUGAAAAGCGAACUGUUUUUUUUUAAAAAAUCUUACAGAUAUGAACUGUAUUACAAGCAGCUGCGAAGCCACAAACCUAUAGCUCUGGCAAAUCCAUCUGGGCAGCACCGAGUCGCCGGCGCGUGCUGCGUGGCGGCGGCAACGCCGGGAGGGACGAGGCGGGAGGAUGAGAGCACCACGGCAAUCCUCUGCACCGAUGAGAUGAUGCUGCACAUGUACUGCUGCGCCAUGGCGGGCACGCUGCCCUGCAGGUGGCUCUCGAACGCGAACUGGAACGCGAUCGUCAUCACCGCCUUGGAGCUCGCCGCUGCUAUUGAUGCCGCUGAUCCUGCUCCAUGGCGUCGCUGCUUCGAGCAUGGAAGCGAGAUCUAGCAUGCAGUUCGAGCUAGAUGUGUCCUAACAUUUGCAAGGAAAGAAAAUCCAGAAGAAUUAUGUUUUUUAUAGCAUAAAAAUUUUAGAAAAUUUGAUUCGAAAUGCUAGUGUAUUAUCUAAUUGUGUGAGAUUUACUUACAGAGGAGAAUCGAUAGGGAUGAUGUAGAAACCGGAAGGCAGCAGCGGAGAAUCAUCACUGAACGAUGCAUCGAUGGGUGCAAAGAUUAGCUCUGAACAUGUUCCUGCACUGCUCUCCUCUACUCCAUUGUACAUCUGCCAUUGCAAUCAGGCCAAGAACACAAGUUUUACAGAGGAAAAAAGAAAAUGAUUCUUCAACUGGUGAUAAGUUUCAUGAAUCAAGAAGUCACCUGCAAGAGGAACAGAUCACGGUGCACCAGUGUAUCUUGGUAGUUUCUGGUGUUUCCUAGCUUGAUAACUUCCAGGAACUGAAACAGUAGAUGGUUGCACCAAAACAUCGAGCAGGAAAACAGAAUUGGACAGGACCUUUUUUGUAACCGACAGACAGUAGAAGAUGGACUUACCUCUGCAGGUUCAAAAGUGUGUGCUAAAGGAAGUAUGACCUGACCACUGAAUCCUCCAAGACGAGACAUGGGUAAAUUGCAGAAGUUUGGUUUCAUCGUCAGCCCAUUGUGACUGGUGUUCGCGCAAAAAUUGCAGUAGUGAUGGAGGAGAGAC
rnacentral:lncRNA from 1 species